rnacentral:ncRNA from 2 species
UUACUUUGCAUUGAGUUUGGUUCAUCGGCGGCGAAUUGCCAACGAUGCUAAGAGGGAACCGGGUGAAAAUCCCGGACAGUACCCGCUGCUGUAAGUCCUGAAAAAGGGCGCGGUAAUUCCCCUGCCACUGUUCCGAUACGCAAGGAACGGGAAGGCACCGCGCCGGGACAAGUCAGAAGACCUGCCAGGCGUUUUUUCAUGAA